GAAGGUACGGGUAGAAACCAAGGAACGCCAAGGACCAAUAACCAGCACAAGUGAGGAAAAGACAUGAGAGGCUUCCUCCCAAGAGCCUGCAAAGGAAGCAUGUCUCUGCAGACAGAUCUGAGCCUUGUAGCUUCUGGAAUUGUGAGAUAACGCAUGUCUCUUGCUUUAAGCCUCCCACUUUGUCAUAUUUUGUUAUGGUAACCCUUGGAAACCAAUACAGCUGGGAAGAGAAUGUAACGAUCCAACCAAUGUAGCAUCACAUCCCAAAGAAAUUCUGUGAACAGAGAGACAGUAAUGGGAACCAGCAUGUCAGAAGAUCACGAGUCAUCCGCACACCCAUGCCGGCCAAUUGUCAAGCCUGCAUUCAAUAAACAUCAUGACCAACAAACAUCAUAAAGAGCCUACUAGGAUCCCAGGCCCUAUUCAAAGCUGUCUUCCCUUUCCACACACCAAGUCCCAGGCUUCAAGAGAAGCUAGUAAAAAGCCCACAUGAAGAAGGACCUGUCUGCAGAAAGGGGAUCUGUUCUCCCCAUCCAGGAGGCUGU